GCCAGCAUGGUUUAAUGGUUUCAGCAUUGGACUACAGCUCUGGAGACCUGGGUUCAAAUCCCCACUCAGCCA